GGGGAUAUAGCUCAGCUGGUAGAGCGCUUGCCUUGCAUGCACGAGCCCCCCAGGGGUUCAAUCCCUAGUGCCCCCC
rnacentral:tRNA from 1 species